rnacentral:rRNA from 1 species
GAUGAACGCUGGCGGCGUGCCUAAUACAUGCAAGUCGAGCGAACAGACGAGGCGCUUGCUCCUCUGACGUUAGCGGCGGACGGGUGAGUAACACGUGGAUACCCUACCUAUAAGUCUGGGAUAACUUCGGGAAACCGGCUCUAAUCCCGGAUAAUAUAUUGAACCGCAUGGUUCAAUGGUGAAAGACGGUUGUGCUGUCACUUCUAGCUGGAUCCGCGCCGCAUUAGCUGGUUGGUAAGGUAACGGGUUACCAAGGCAACGAGGCGUAGCCGACGGGAGAGGGGGAUCGGCCACCCUGGAGCUGAGACACGGUCCAGACUCCUACGGGAGGCAGCAGUAGGGAAUCUUCCGCAAUGGGGGAAAGCUUGACGGAGCAACGCCGCGUGAGUGAUGGAGGUCUUCGGAUCGUAAAACUCUGUUAUUAGGGAAGAACAAAUGUGUAAGUAACUAUGCACGUCUUGACGGUACCUAAUCAGAAAGCCACGGCUAACUACGUG